UUAAGCGACUAAGCGUACACGGUGGAUGCCCUGGCAGUCAGAGGCGAUGAAGGACGUGCUAAUCUGCGAUAAGCGUCGGUAAGGUGAUAUGAACCGUUAUAACCGGCGAUUUCCGAAUGGGGAAACCCAGUGUGAUUCGUCACACUAUCAUUAACUGAAUCCAUAGGUUAAUGAGGCGAACCGGGGGAACUGAAACAUCUAAGUACCCCGAGGAAAAGAAAUCAACCGAGAUUCCCCCAGUAGCGGCGAGCGAACGGGGAGCAGCCCAGAGCCUGAAUCAGUGUGUGUGUUAGUGGAAGCGUCUGGAAAGGCGCGCGAUACAGGGUGACAGCCCCGUACACAAAAAUGCACAUGCUGUGAGCUCGAUGAGUAGGGCGGGACACGUGGUAUCCUGUCUGAAUAUGGGGGGACCAUCCUCCAAGGCUAAAUACUCCUGACUGACCGAUAGUGAACCAGUACCGUGAGGGAAAGGCGAAAAGAACCCCGGCGAGGGGAGUGAAAAAGAACCUGAAACCGUGUACGUACAAGCAGUGGGAGCACAGAGCAAUCUGUGUGACUGCGUACCUUUUGUAUAAUGGGUCAGCGACUUAUAUUCUGUAGCAAGGUUAACCGAAUAGGGGAGCCGAAGGGAAACCGAGUCUUAACUGGGCGUUAAGUUGCAGGGUAUAGACCCGAAACCCGGUGAUCUAGCCAUGGGCAGGUUGAAGGUUGGGUAACACUAACUGGAGGACCGAACCGACUAAUGUUGAAAAAUUAGCGGAUGACUUGUGGCUGGGGGUGAAAGGCCAAUCAAACCGGGAGAUAGCUGGUUCUCCCCGAAAGCUAUUUAGGUAGCGCCUCGUGAAUUCAUCUCCGGGGGUAGAGCACUGUUUCGGCAAGGGGGUCAUCCCGACUUACCAACCCGAUGCAAACUGCGAAUACCGGAGAAUGUUAUCACGGGAGACACACGGCGGGUGCUAACGUCCGUCGUGAAGAGGGAAACAACCCAGACCGCCAGCUAAGGUCCCAAAGUCAUGGUUAAGUGGGAAACGAUGUGGGAAGGCCCAGACAGCCAGGAUGUUGGCUUAGAAGCAGCCAUCAUUUAAAGAAAGCGUAAUAGCUCACUGGUCGAGUCGGCCUGCGCGGAAGAUGUAACGGGGCUAAACCAUGCACCGAAGCUGCGGCAGCGACACUAUGUGUUGUUGGGUAGGGGAGCGUUCUGUAAGCCUGUGAAGGUGUACUGUGAGGUAUGCUGGAGGUAUCAGAAGUGCGAAUGCUGACAUAAGUAACGAUAAAGCGGGUGAAAAGCCCGCUCGCCGGAAGACCAAGGGUUCCUGUCCAACGUUAAUCGGGGCAGGGUGAGUCGACCCCUAAGGCGAGGCCGAAAGGCGUAGUCGAUGGGAAACAGGUUAAUAUUCCUGUACUUGGUGUUACUGCGAAGGGGGGACGGAGAAGGCUAUGUUGGCCGGGCGACGGUUGUCCCGGUUUAAGCGUGUAGGCUGGUUUUCCAGGCAAAUCCGGAAAAUCAAGGCUGAGGCGUGAUGACGAGGCACUACGGUGCUGAAGCAACAAAUGCCCUGCUUCCAGGAAAAGCCUCUAAGCAUCAGGUAACAUCAAAUCGUACCCCAAACCGACACAGGUGGUCAGGUAGAGAAUACCAAGGCGCUUGAGAGAACUCGGGUGAAGGAACUAGGCAAAAUGGUGCCGUAACUUCGGGAGAAGGCACGCUGAUAUGUAGGUGAAGCGACUUGCUCGUGGAGCUGAAAUCAGUCGAAGAUACCAGCUGGCUGCAACUGUUUAUUAAAAACACAGCACUGUGCAAACACGAAAGUGGACGUAUACGGUGUGACGCCUGCCCGGUGCCGGAAGGUUAAUUGAUGGGGUUAGCGGUAACGCGAAGCUCUUGAUCGAAGCCCCGGUAAACGGCGGCCGUAACUAUAACGGUCCUAAGGUAGCGAAAUUCCUUGUCGGGUAAGUUCCGACCUGC
rnacentral:rRNA from 1 species